CAGCAGCCGCGGUAACACGGAGGGGGCUAGCGUUGUUCGGAAUUACUGGGCGUAAGGCGCACGUAGGCGGCUUGGUAAGUUAGAGGUGAAAGCCUGGAGCUCAACUCCAGAAUUGCCUUUAAGACUGCCGAGCUAGCAGGUGAGAGAGGUAAGUGGAAUUCCGAGUGUAGAGGUGAAAUUCGUAGAUAUUCGGAAGAACACCAGUGGCGAAGGCGGCUUACUGGCUCAUACUGGACGCUGAGGUGCGAAAGCGUGGGGAGCAAACAGGAUUAGAUACCCCAGUAGUCCCUGUCUCUUAUAC
rnacentral:rRNA from 1 species